ACUCCGCUCGUGUGUGAGUAAGCUCGUAGUUGGAUUUCUGGCGGUGCUUGCCCUCUGAGAUGCCCCGGUGUCCUGCCUCCUUCUGUUAACCCUGUAAGCCUUAAAAAGUUUACUGGGGGCUCAGAUUUUUACCUUGAGAAUUUAGAAUGUUUCAGGCAGGCUAGCGCCGGAAACAUUUCAUGGAAAAUAGAAUAAGACUUUUCCUCUUCCGGGGGUGAGGGGGUCGUAAUGAUUAAUAAGGAUAGUUGGGGGCAUUAGUACUUUCUGUCAGAAGUGGAUUCUCGGAUUUGUUUAGACUAACUUAUGCCAAAGCAUUUGCCACGGAUGUUUUCAUUAUUCAAAACGAAGUUAGGGGAUCAAAGACAAUCACAUACAGUCCUAACUUAACCAUAAACUAUGCCCACUCGGGAUCGGGGGCGAGUGUUAUCCCCCUUCGGCACCGCAUGAGAAAUCAAAAUCUUUGGAUUCUGGGGGGAGUAUGGUCGCAAGGGUGGAACUUUAAAGAAUUGACGGAAGGGCACCACCAGGCGUGGAGCUUGCGGAUCCAUUUGACUCAACACGGGGAAACUUACCGAGUCCACACAUAACAAGAGAUUGACAGAAUGAUAACUCUUUCUUGACUCUAUGGGUGGUGUGGCAUGGGCGGUCUCUAACUGGCGGAGUGAGUUGUCUGGCUUAUUCCGUUGACGAACGAGACCCUAGACUACUAAAUAUUGUUAUGCAAUCAUGAUUGCUCAACUUCUUAGAAAAGAAUUUUAAGCAAAUAUAAAGAAGUUUGAAGCAAUACACGUCUGUGUAUGCCCUCUUAUAUGCUGGUGCGCACUCGUGCUACACUGACAUAUACAGCGAGCAUCUCAGCGCCGCUAAGUCGCUGGUAAUCAGCAUAUAUGUCGUGAUGGGAUAGAUCUUUGGAUUAUCGAUCCUGAACGAGAUGCCUAGUAAGAGCACUCAUCAGACUGCGUUGAUUACGUCCC
rnacentral:rRNA from 1 species